rnacentral:rRNA from 1 species
GACGAACGCUGGCGGCGUGCUUAACACAUGCAAGUCGAACGAAGUGGCGCACGGGUGAGUAACGCGUAAUCAACCUGCCCUUCCGAGGGGGACAACAGUUGGAAACGACUGCUACUCCCCCAUACUGAAGACGGUGAUUGCGUCUGAGCGGCUCGUGGGAGGGGUAACGGCCCACCAAGGCGAUGAUCAGUAGCCGGGCUGAGAGGAUGAACGGCCACAUUGGGACUGCGACACGGCCCAGAAUCCUACGGGAGGCAGCAGUGGGGAAUCUUCCGAAAUGGACGAAAGUCGGACUGAGCAACGCCGCGUGAGUGAUGACGGCCUUCGGGUUGUAAAGCUCUGUUAAUCGGGACGCGGUACCGGAAUAGAAAGCCACGGCUAACUACGUGCCAGCAGCCGCGGUAAUAC